CCUACGGGAGGCAGCAGUAGGGAAUUUUCCACAAUGGGCGCAAGCCUGAUGGAGCAACACCGCGUGAGUGAAGAAGGCUUUCGGCUCGUAAAGCUCUGUUGUUGGAGAAGAACUUGCGUGAGAGUCACUGUUCACGCAGUGACGGUCUCCAACCCGACAGUCACGGCUAAAUACGUGCCAGCAGCCGCGGUAAUACGUAGGUGGCAAGCGUUAUCCGGAUUUAUUGGGCGUAAGGGGAGCGCAGGCGGUCGCUUAGGUCUGAUGUGAAACCCUUCGGCUUAACCCAAGAAGUGCAUCGGAAACCGGGCGACUUGAGUGAAGAAGAGGACAGUGGAAUUCCAUGUGUAGCGGUGGAAUGCGUAGAUAUAGGGAAGAACACCAGUGGCGAAGGCGGCUGUCUGGUCUUCAACUGACGCUGAGGCGCGAAAGCAUGGGUAGCGAACAGGAUUAGAUACCCGAGUAGUC
rnacentral:rRNA from 1 species